rnacentral:rRNA from 1 species
AGAGUUUGAUUCUGGCUCAGAACGAACGCUGGCGGCGUGGUUCAGGCAUGCAAGUCGAACGGUACCGCAAGGUACAGUGGCAGAAGGGUUAGUAACACGUGGGCAAUCUACCCCCAUGUCGGGGAUAACAUCUCGAAAGAGGUGCUAAUACCCGAUGACAUUAUCUGGUCAUAAGAUCGGAUACUCAAAGGUGGCUCGCAAGAGCUGCCGCAAGGGGAGGAGCCCGCGGCCUAUCAGCUAGUUGGUGAGGUAAUGGCUCACCAAGGCUUUUGACGGGUAGCUGGUCUAAGAGGACGAUCAGCAACAUUGGGACUGAGACACUGCCCAGACUCCUACGGGAGGCUGCAGUCGAGGAUCUUUAGCAAUGCCCGAAAGGGUGACUAUGCGACGCCGCGUGCAGGAUGAAGGCCUUCGGGUCGUAAACUGCUGUCAGUGAGGAAGAAAUCUCAGGUGUUAACAGCAUCUGAGUUUGACAUCACUCACAAAGGAAGCCACGGCUAACUCUGUGCCAGCAGCCGCGGUAAGACAGAGGUGGCAAGCGUUGUUCGGAUUCAUUGGGUGUAAAGGGUCCGUAGGUGGCUGCGUAAGUCUGACGUGAAAUCCCAUGGCUCAACCAUGGAACUGCGUUGGAUACUGCGCGGCUUGAGUAUCGGAGAGGUGAGGCAAUUCUCGGUGUAAGGGUGAAAUCUGUAGAUAUCGAGAGGAACACCAGUGGCGAAGGCGCCUCACUGGCCGAUUACUGACACUGAGGGACGAAAGCAAGGGGAGCAAACAGGAUUAGAUACCCUGGUAGUCCUUGCCGUAAACGAUGUGGAUUAGGUGUCGGGGGUGUUGAUCCUUCCGGUGCCGACGAUAACUCAUUAAAUCCACCACCUGGGGAGUACGGUCGCAAGACUGAAACUCAAAGAAAUUGACGGGGACCCGCACAAGCGGUGGAUGAUGUGGUUUAAUUCGACGCAACGCGAAAAACCUUACCUACCCUUGACAUGUCUGGAAUUCUGCAGAGAUGUGGAAGUGCUCGAAAGAGAACCAGAACACAGGUGCUGCAUGGCCGUCGUCAGCUCGUGUCGUGAGAUGUUGGGUUAAGUCCCGCAACGAGCGCAACCCUUGUCAUUAGUUGCUACGAAAGGGCACUCUAAUGAGACUGCCGGUGACAAACCGGAGGAAGGUGGGGAUGACGUCAGGUCAUCAUGGCCCUUAUGGGUAGGGCUACACACGUCAUACAAUGGCCGGUACAGAGGGCUGCCAACCCGCGAGGGGGAGCUAAUCCCAGAAAACCGGUCGUAGUCCGGAUCGCAGUCUGCAACUCGACUGCGUGAAGUCGGAAUCGCUAGUAAUCGCGGAUCAGCUUGCCGCGGUGAAUACGUUCCCGGGUCUUGUACACACCGCCCGUCACACCAUGGGAGCGGGUUCUGCCAGAAGUAGUUAGCCUAACCGCAAGGAGGGCGAUUACCACGGCAGGGUUCGUGACUGGGGUGAAGUCGUAACAAGGUA